AUGAACGCUGGCGGCGUGCCUCAUACAUGCAAGUCGAGCGAACGGACGAGAAGCUUGCUUCUCUGAUGUUAGCGGCGGACGGGUGAGUAACACGUGGAUAACCUACCUAUAAGACUGGGAUAACUUCGGGAAACCGUAGCUAAUACCGGAUAAUAUUUUGAACCGCAUGGUUCAAAAGUGAAAGACGGUCUUGCUGUCACUUAUAGAUGGAUCCGCGCUGCAUUAGCUAGUUGGUAAGGUAACGGCUUACCAAGGCAACGAUGCAUAGCCGACCUGAGAGGGUGAUCGGCCACACUGGAACUGAGACACGGUCCAGACUCCUACGGGAGGCAGCAGUAGAGAAUCUUCCGCAAUGGGCGAAAGCCUGACGGAGCAACGCCGCGUGAGUGAUGAAGGUCUUCGGAUCGUAAAACUCUGUUAUUAGGGAAGAACAUAUGUGUAAGUAACUGUGCACAUCUUGACGGUACCUAAUCAGAAAGCCACGGCUAACUACGUG
rnacentral:rRNA from 1 species